UACGUAGGGUCCAAGCGUUGUCCGGAAUUAUUGGGCGUAAAGAGCUCGUAGGCGGUCCGUUAAGUCGGAAGUGAAAUCUCAAGGCUCAACCUUGAAAUCGCCCUCGAUACUGGCGGACUUGAGGCAGGUAGGGGAAGGUGGAAUUCCAGGUGUAGCGGUGAAAUGCGUAGAUAUCUGGAGGAACACCGGUGGCGAAGGCGGCAUCCUGGACCGAUAUUGACGCUGAUGCGCGAAAGCCAGGGGAGCAAACGGG
rnacentral:rRNA from 1 species